UACGUAGGGUGCAAGCGUUGUCCGGAAUUAUUGGGCGUAAAGAGCUCGUAGGCGGUCUGUCGCGUCGGAUGUGAAGAUCCAGGGCUCAACCCUGGACCUGCAUUCGAUACGGGCAGACUAGAGUUCGGCAGGGGAGACUGGAAUUCCUGGUGUAGCGGUGAAAUGCGCAGAUAUCAGGAGGAACACCGGUGGCGAAGGCGGGUCUCUGGGCCGAUACUGACGCUGAGGAGCGAAAGCGUGGGGAGCGAACAGG
rnacentral:rRNA from 1 species